rnacentral:rRNA from 1 species
AUUGAACGCUGGCGGCAGGCCUAACACAUGCAAGUCGAACGAGCGGCGGACGGGUGAGUAAUGUCUGGGAAUCUGCCUGAUGGAGGGGGAUAACUACUGGAAACGGUAGCUAAUACCGCAUACCAUCAGAUGGGCCCAGAUGGGAUUAGCUUGUUGGUGGGGUAACGGCUCACCAAGGCGACGCUGCCUAGCUGGUCUGAGAGGAUGACCAGCCACACUGGAACUGAGACACGGGCCAGACUCCGACGGGAGGCAGCAGUGGGGAAUAUUGCACAAGGGGCGCAAGCCUGAUGCAGCCAUGCCGCGUGUAUGAAGAAGGCGUUCGGGUUGUAAAGUACUUUCAGUGGGGAGGCGUUACCCACAGAAGAAGCACCGGCUAACUACGUGCCAGCCGCCGCGGUAAUAC